GCCCAAAGUCGGUUUAGCUAACUUCGGAAGCGACUGCCUAAGGCAGGAUUGGUGACUGGGGUGAAGUCGUAACAAGGUAUCCCUACGAGAACGUGGGGAUGGAUCACCUCCUUUCUACGGAGUACAAUUACAAUUUCAUUUUUGGCCAAAAAUCUUAAUACCUGAUAUUUAAAACUAAAUUAUUUAAAUAUCUCACGAGGGUACUAAGUCAGUGUGUUGGUGUAGCCAAAAGCACUCUAAUAUUCAGUUUUGAGGGAUUUACCUCAAAAAAAAUAGAUCUUUGAAAACUGAAUAGCAUAUAAAUUAAUAUGAUAACGACAUCAAAAUAUAUUUUGUGAAAAUAAUUUUGAUCCGAGUUGUGUCUAUACAUGGGUAUAGACACUAUAAAUACCUUAAGAAUACAUCAAAACAAAAAAACAUUUUUUUUAAUAGGAAAAAAUAGUUACUUAUACUUUUAAAUAAGCAAGAGUUUGUAGUGG
rnacentral:misc_RNA from 1 species